GCUAUGACGCUUAACUGGUCUGAGAGGAUGAUCAGUCACACUGGAACUGAGACACGGUCCAGACUCCUACGGGAGGCAGCAGUAGGGAAUAUUGCGCAAUGGGGGAAACCCUGACGCAGCAACGCCGCGUGGAGGAUGACACUUUUCGGAGCGUAAACUCCUUUUCUUAGGGAAGAAUUCUGACGGUACCUAAGGAAUAAGCACCGGCUAACUCCGUGCCAGCAGCCGCGGUAAUACGGAGGGUGCAAGCGUUACUCGGAAUCACUGGGCGUAAAGGGCGCGUAGGCGGAUUAUCAAGUCUCUUGUGAAAUCUAAUGGCUUAACCAUUAAACUGCUUGGGAAACUGAUAGUCUAGAGUGAGGGAGAGGCAGAUGGAAUUGGUGGUGUAGGGGUAAAAUCCGUAGAUAUCACCAAGAAUACCCAUUGCGAAGGCGAUCUGCUGGAACUCAACUGACGCUAAGGCGCGAAAGCGUGGGGAGCAAACAGGAUUAGAUACCCUGGUAGUCCACGCCCUAAACGAUGUACACUAGUUGUUGGGGUGCUAGUCAUCUCAGUAAUGCAGCUAACGCAUUAAGUGUACCGCCUGGGGAGUACGGUCGCAAGAUUAAAACUCAAAGGAAUAGACGGGGACCCGCACAAGCGGUGGAGCAUGUGGUUUAAUUCGAAGAUACGCGAAGAACCUUACCUGGGCUUGAUAUCCUAAGAACCUUUUAGAGAUAAGAGGGUGCUAGCUUGCUAGAACUUAGAGACAGGUGCUGCACGGCUGUCGUCAGCUCGUGUCGUGAGAUGUUGGGUUAAGUCCCGCAACGAGCGCAACCCACGUAUUUAGUUGCUAACGGUUCGGCCGAGCACUCUAAAUAGACUGCCUUCGUAAGGAGGAGGAAGGUGUGGACGACGUCAAGUCAUCAUGGCCCUUAUGCCCAGGGCGACACACGUGCUACAAUGGCAUAUACAAUGAGACGCAAUACCGCGAGGUGGAGCAAAUCUAUAAAAUAUGUCCCAGUUCGGAUUGUUCUCUGCAACUCGAGAGCAUGAAGCCGGAAUCGCUAGUAAUCGUAGAUCAGCCAUGCUACGGUGAAUACGUUCCCGGGUCUUGUACUCACCGCCCGUCACACCAUGGGAGUUGAUUUCACUCGAAGCCGGAAUACUAAACUAGUUACCGUCCACAGUGGAAUCAGCGACUGGGGUGAAGUCGUAACAAGGUAACCGUAGGAGAACCUGCGGUUGGAUCACCUCCUUUCUA
rnacentral:rRNA from 1 species